rnacentral:rRNA from 1 species
AUUGAACGCUGGCGGCAUGCCUUACACAUGCAAGUCGAACGGCAGCACGGGAGCAAUCCUGGUGGCGAGUGGCGAACGGGUGAGUAAUGUAUCGGAACGUACCUUUCAGUGGGGGAUAACGUAGCGAAAGUUACGCUAAUACCGCAUAUUCUGUGAGCAGGAAAGCAGGGGAUCGCAAGACCUUGCGCUGAUUGAGCGGCCGAUAUCAGAUUAGCUAGUUGGUGAGGUAAAGGCUCACCAAGGCGACGAUCUGUAGCGGGUCUGAGAGGAUGAUCCGCCACACUGGAACUGAGACACGGUCCAGACUCCUACGGGAGGCAGCAGUGGGGAAUUUUGGACAAUGGGCGGCAAGCCUGAUCCAGCCAUGCCGCGUGAGUGAAGAAGGCCUUCGGGUUGUAAAGCUCUUUCAGCCGGGAAGAAAACGCAUGGGUUAAUACCCUGUGUGGAUGACGGUACCGGAAUAAGAAGCACCGGCUAACUACGUG